rnacentral:misc_RNA from 1 species
GUGAAUCAUCGAAUCUUUGAACGCAAAUUGCACUCUUUUCGGUGAGUAGGCCUGUUUGAGGGUCAGAAUUAAUAAAAACCGGUGUGUUGCUUCAUUGUGACGCUCCAGAGUAUAGGUCAUCUUAAGAUCCUUUAGGUUUUAAGAGGCUUAAAAUUGACUUUUUUUGCGCAUUUUAGAUGUACAUAAAUUCUAUUUUUUAUUCGUCUGUCUUAAUGCUCAAAUUCCUAUUAGAUGUGACCAUAUCGUGUGUGUUCGU